UACGUAGGGUGCUAGCGUUGUCCGGAAUCAUUGGGCGUAAAGCGCGCGUAGGCGGUCCGGCAAGUCCGCUGUGAAAGUCGGGGGCUCAACCCUCGGAUGCCGGUGGAUACUGGCGGGCUUGAGUACGGAAGAGGCGAGUGGAAUUCCUGGUAUAGCGGUGAAAUGCGCAGAUAUCAGGAGGAACACCAAUUGCGAAGGCAGCUCGCUGGGACGUUACUGACGCUGAGACGCGAAAGCGUGGGGAGCAAACAGG
rnacentral:rRNA from 1 species